rnacentral:rRNA from 1 species
UUCCGUAGGUGAACCUGCGGAAGGAUCAUUAUUGAAGUUGUUUGAGGGGGGUUGUUUGCUGGCUUUCCGGAGCACUGUGCACACCCUUCUCCCACUUUACUCCAUCCACCUGUGCACAUACUGUAGGUCUCGGAUACCUCUCAGCCUUCGGGCUGGCGUUGGAUGGUCGCUUUUGGGCUUCCAUCCGAUUUCCGGGGCUCUACGCUACAUUUAAACACUUAAAAUAUUCAUAGAAUGAUCUUGGGUCGCAAGACCUUUAAACUAUAAUACAACUUUCAACAACGGAUCUCUUGGCUCUCGCAUCGAUGAAGAACGCAGCGAAAUGCGAUAAGUAAUGUGAAUUGCAGAUUUCAGUGAAUCAUCGAAUCUUUGAACGCACCUUGCGCUCCUUGGUUAUUCCGAGGAGCAUGCCUGUUUGAGUGUCAUUAAAUUCUCAACUUCCAACGGUUUCUUUGCAGAUCGUCUUUGGAGGAUUGGAUGUGAGGGCUUUGCCGGCUUUUACGAGUCGGCUCCCUUAAAAAGUCUCAGUGUUGUCUCUUGCUGACGCAACGCCCCCUCGGUGUGAUAAUCUAUCUAUGCCGUGUGUUGGGAGGUCAGACAUUUUGUGAGCAGCGCUUCUAACCGUCUGGUUUUUCCGGACAAGUUAUUCAUGACUUUGACCUCAAAUCAGGUAGGACUAC